rnacentral:rRNA from 1 species
UACGUAGGUGGCAAGCGUUGUCCGGAUUUACUGGGCGUAAAGCGCGCGCAGGCGGCCUGUUAAGUCUGAUGUGAAAGCCCCCGGCUCAACCGGGGAAGGUCAUUGGAAACUGGUAGGCUUGAGUACAGAAGAGGAAAGCGGAAUUCCACGUGUAGCGGUGAAAUGCGUAGAGAUGUGGAGGAACACCAGUGGCGAAGGCGGAUUUCUGGUCUGUAACUGACGCUGAGGCGCGAAAGCGUGGGGAGCAAACAGG